UAUUGGUGUACCUCAUUAUUGGGAUACUUAAAAGGGAAACUAGUUAGAUUCUAGUGCUGUUCCCGCAACUGUGUGCUUAGUCUUUAAAGACGCUGAUUGUUUUUUAUACCACUGUAGUAAAUCUAUGGGAAGGUGACAAUUUAGACGCAAGCCAGGAUACCUGCCGUUUUCAA
rnacentral:ncRNA from 1 species